rnacentral:rRNA from 1 species
UCUAUGGCCAUGCCACCCUGAACAAGCCCGAUCCCGUCUAAUCUCGGAAGUCAAGCAGGGUCAGGCCUGGUUAGUAGUUGAAUGGGAGACCACUUAAGAAGACCAGGUGCCGUUAGGC